UACCUCAUCUGUAAAUACUAAAAAAAAAUUGGAACGAUACAGAGAAGAUUAGCAUGGCCCCUGUGCAAGGAUGACACGCAAAUUCGUGAAACGUUCCAUAUUUCU